UACGAAGGGGGCUAGCGUUGCUCGGAAUCACUGGGCGUAAAGCGCACGUAGGCGGCUUUCUAAGUCAGGGGUGAAAUCCUGGAGCUCAACUCCAGAACUGCCUUUGAUACUGGAGAGCUCGAGUCCGGAAGAGGUGAGUGGAACUGCGAGUGUAGAGGUGAAAUUCGUAGAUAUUCGCAAGAACACCAGUGGCGAAGGCGGCUCACUGGUCCGGUACUGACGCUGAGGAGCGAAAGCGUGGGGAGCAAACAGG
rnacentral:rRNA from 1 species